AGAAUCAACGCUGGCGGCGUGCCUAACACAUGCAAGUCGAACGAGAAAGUGGAGCAAUCCAUGAGUAAAGUGGCGACCGGGUGAGUAACACGUGACUAACCUACCCUACAGUGGGGGAUAACUCCGGGAAACCGGGGCUAAUACCGCAUAAUACCUACGGGUCAAAGGAGCAAUUCGCUUCAGGAGGGGGUCGCGGCCGAUUAGUUAGUUGGCGGGGUAAUGGCCCACCAAGACAGUGAUCGGUAUCC
rnacentral:rRNA from 1 species